rnacentral:rRNA from 1 species
AUUGAACGCUGGCGGCAGGCCUAACACAUGCAAGUCGAACGGUAACAGGAAGCAGCUUGCUGCUUUGCUGACGAGUGGCGGACGGGUGAGUAAUGUCUGGGAAACUGCCUGAUGGAGGGGGAUAACUACUGGAAACGGUAGCUAAUACCGCAUAACGUCGCAAGACCAAAGAGGGGGACCUUCGGGCCUCUUGCCAUCGGAUGUGCCCAGAUGGGAUUAGCUAGUAGGUGGGGUAACGGCUCACCUAGGCGACGAUCCCUAGCUGGUCUGAGAGGAUGACCAGCCACACUGGAACUGAGACACGGUCCAGACUCCUACGGGAGGCAGCAGUGGAGAAUAUUGCACAAUGGGCGCAAGCCUGAUGCAGCCAUGCCGCGUGUAUGAAGAAGGCCUUCGGGUUGUAAAGUACUUUCAGCGGGGAGGAAGGAAGUAAAGUUAAUACCUUAGCUCAUUGACGUUACCCGCAGAAGAAGCACCGGCUAACUCCGUG